rnacentral:rRNA from 1 species
AGUCAGGCGCAGCACUAUUAAUACUACGCGGUUCCUAUAACGUGACAGCAGUUUACAACCCAAGGCCUUCAUCCUGCACGCGGUGUCGCUCCGUCAGGCUUGCGCCCAUUGCGGAAGAUUCUCG